GUUGAAAUUGAAAUCACUCUCUGUUUGCAUAGAAACCGCACGAAAAUCUGAGGCCCCAGAAGAAAUUAGCAUCUGUACUUUGUUGAGUUCCUUUUUAUUUUCCUUUUUGGGCCGGUAAAUCGAUAUGAAUGGCGAGGGGAGCAGAGGAGAAGGUGAGAUCGUGAGAAUGGAAGAGGAUGUUAAGGAGAAGAAGAUUGUUUAUAUGUGGGGGUAUCUUCCUGGAGCUUUGC
rnacentral:misc_RNA from 1 species